rnacentral:misc_RNA from 1 species
GUGGCUAUUUUGUGUUUUCUGUGUUGGAAAUUAAGUCCUACAUGAAUGAAAAAUAUUUAACUUAAUGAGAAUUACAUAUAAGAUGAAUUUAGCCAAAGAAUUUUUUUAACAUCAUUAGGUUUGAAGCAAUGAAUAAAAUAAGUAUCUCUCUCUCGUGAGAUGACUUUAAUUUACUUAGCAUAUCUUCUGGACAUUCCGCCCUGCAGCUUCGGCAAUCAACGCAAUAUGGGUUGCUAGGAUGAUAUUGUCCUUGUGCAAAUGAGAGAAAUCAAGAAUGUGUGACCAUCAUAUUAUAAUUUGGACAGCAAUGCAUUCAUUUUCUAGGGUUAAAUUUGUUUUAUACCCUUUUUUGUUCCCUAAAAACUGAAAUUUAAUCAAUCAAUAUCCUACUUUUCCUUCUAACAUGUAAAUUUCUAUCAGACACUACCUAAACGACAUUAAAUUUCUAUCAUACACUACCUCAACCACAUUCACCUUGUGAUCAUGUUGAUUGCUAUAUAGAAUGAACUUUAUAAUGUCAAAAUCUAUACUUGAAAUUGUUAACUUAUCAUCUGACAUGUGAUGUUGG